UACGGGGGGGGCAAGCGUUGUUCGGAAUUACUGGGCGUAAAGGGCUCGUAGGUUGCCAACUAAGUCAGACGUGAAAUCCCUCGGCUUAACCGGGGAAUUGCGUCUGAUACUGGAUGGCUUGAGUUCGGGAGAGGGAUGCGGAAUUCCAGGUGUAGCGGUGAAAUGCGUAGAUAUCUGGAGGAACACCGGUGGCGAAGGCGGCAUCCUGGACCGACACUGACACUGAGGAGCGAAAGCCAGGGGAGCAAACGGG
rnacentral:rRNA from 1 species